AGAGUUUGCUUUUGGCUCAGGAUGAACGCUGGCGGCGUGCUUAACACAUGCAAGUCGAACGGGGAACCUUUUAUUGAAGCUUCCGCAAAUUUAUAUUGUUUCUAGUGGCGGACGGGUGAGUAACGCGUGGGUAACCUGCCUUAUACAGGGGGAUAACAGUCAGAAAUGACUGCUAAUACCGCAUAAGCGCACAGAGCUGCAUGGCUCAGUGUGAAAAACUCCGGUGGUAUAAGAUGGACCCGCGUUGGAUUAGCUAGUUGGUGAGGUAACGGCCCACCAAGGCGACGAUCCAUAGCCGACCUGAGAGGGUGACCGGCCACAUUGGGACUGAGACACGGCCCAAACUCCUACGGGAGGCAGCAGUGGGGAAUAUUGCACAAUGGGCGAAAGCCUGAUGCAGCGACGCCGCGUGAGCGAAGAAGUAUUUCGGUAUGUAAAGCUCUAUCAGCAGGGAAGAUAAUGACGGUACCUGACUAAGAAGCACCGGCUAAAUACGUGCCAGCAGCCGCGGUAAUACGUAGGGUGCAAGCGUUAUCCGGAUUUACUGGGUGUAAAGGGAGCGCAGGCGGUGCGGCAAGUCUGAUGUGAAAGCCCGGGGCUCAACCCCGGUACUGCAUUGGAAACUGUCGUACUAGAGUGUCGGAGGGGUAAGCGGAAUUCCUAGUGUAGCGGUGAAAUGCGUAGAUAUUAGGAGGAACACCAGUGGCGAAGGCGGCUUACUGGACGAUAACUGACGCUGAGGCUCGAAAGCGUGGGGAGCAAACAGGAUUAGAUACCCUGGUAGUCCACGCCGUAAACGAU
rnacentral:rRNA from 1 species